rnacentral:rRNA from 1 species
UACCAGCACCCCGAGUGGUCGGGACGUUUAUUGGGCCUAAAGCAUCCGUAGCCGGUUCUACAAGUCUUCCGUUAAAUCCACCUGCCCAACAGAUGGGCUGCGGAAGAUACUAUGGAGCUAGGAGGCGGGAGAGGCAAGCGGUACUCGAUGGGUAGGGGUAAAAUCCGUUGAUCCAUUGAAGACCACCAGUGGCGAAGGCGGCUUGCCAGAACGCGCUCGACGGUGAGGGAUGAAAGCUGGGGGAGCAAACCGG